GACACAAGGAGAGCAGUGAGCACCACGAACGCCGGCGUUCGUGGUGUUCACUGCUCUCCUUGUGUC
rnacentral:pre_miRNA from 1 species